rnacentral:rRNA from 1 species
GACGAACGCUGGCGGCGUGCUUAACACAUGCAAGUCGAACGGAGUGGCGAACGGGUGAGUAACACGUGGGUGAUCUGCCUUGCACUUCGGGAUAAGCUUGGGAAACUGGGUCUAAUACCGGAUAGUGCAAGAGGAGCUCGCGGCCUAUGAGCUUGUUGGUGGGGUAAUGGCCUACCAAGGCGUCGACGGGUAGCCGGCCUGAGAGGGUGUACGGCCUGCUUGUGACUGAGAGACGGACCAGACUCGUAUGGGACGCAGCAGGGGGGAAUAUUGCGCAAUGGGCGGAAGCGUGAUGCAGAGACGCCGCGUGGGGGAUGAAGGUCUUCGGGUUGUAAACUCCUUUCGACAGGGACGCGGUACCUGUAUAAGAAGCACCGGCUAACUACGUGCCAGCAGCCGCGGUAAUUC